UCGAAGGGGAUGGCAUCGAUUGGCAGGAGAAAUAGAACCUUGCCCAGGCUGCCGACGGAUAUGCGUGAUCACCGGCUCUUGCGCAUGGCGCCUUCUCGUGGACAGGGCGCCAGCUGGGGUGAGCGGCAUUCUAGCGACAGGCCGAAAGUGGUUAUUUCUUCAAUGCGACAACUAAUUAUAAAAGCACCGAAGAGGGCAUUCGGCGAUAUUGACAGGCAGCGACAUUUGUGCCCGGAAAGCGCGAAGUGUAAUCAAUGAGUAAAGCAAAUCUCAAGCCAUAAAUUGCCAAUUCCUUCUCCUUCAAUGGCUUGCCCGCUACGACUCGCCUCGACUGCUACCCCGUGUCGCACCUUGGCUGUGCGUGGCGUUUCCUCUCGCCCCAAUUAUGCGCAGGCGCGCAUCACCGAAGUGUUACCGCCGCCCCAUUCCCGGCGCGAGCCCAUUCGAAACGCCCUCCUCCUCGGCCCGCGCCAAAUGAAAGACCCCGCGCGGCUCGCACCGCGCGGGGUC
rfam:Pseudomonas aeruginosa PAO1, complete genome.